rnacentral:rRNA from 1 species
AUGCAGCAGCGGCGCAAGUCGGUGUUCGGGUCGGCGCCCUACGCGAUGAAGCAGGCCGCGCUGGGGGCGGGCGUGGCGGCGCGCAAGAACGGCACGCCGCUCUCCAUGGCGGCGGUGGUCUUCUCGCUCUUCGUCUUCGCCACCUUCCUCUACAACGAGGACAUCAAGUCCAUCGCCGACUUCCCCUUCGGCGCUGGCGCCGGCGCGCUCCGCGCCAAGUCCCCCGACCUCCACCUCCUGCAGGAGGCCGAGGCCGCCGCGCACCAGGCCGUCACCACCCUCGCCAUGCGCGGGGAGGAGGCCAUCGUGCGUGUCCUCGACGCGCCAGCCGCCGGGGCCCUUCUUCCGGUAGCCAACGCGGGCGCCGGUAACGGCAAAAACGCCACCGGGACCGGGGUGGUGGUGGCCAAGGUCAGCGCCGUCUCCAACGCCAACGCCAACACGGCCGGCGCCAAUGCCGGCAAGGAGGAGGAGGGGCAGGAGAAGGACAGGGACGUGACGCUCCCGAACGUGACGGGAGGCGGCGGCGCGGAGGAGGCGAAGCGGCGGGAGGACGAGGAGGCGGCCGAGCGGGCGUCGACGGCGAAGGCCGCGGCGGCGACGGCGGCGGCGCUGCGGACGGCGGUGGUGAGCGUGCCGGAGACGUGCGACCUGUACCGCGGCAGCUGGGUGUACGACGAGGUGAACGCGCCGGUGUACAAGGAGACGCACUGCGAGUUCCUGACGGAGCAGGUGACCUGCAUGCGCAACGGCCGCCGCGACGACUCGUAUCAGAAGUGGCGGUGGCAGCCGACCGACUGCGACCUCCCCCGGUUCGACGCUCGUCUGCUGCUGGAGCGGCUGCGCAACAAGCGGCUGAUGUUCGUGGGGGAUUCGCUGAACCGGAACCAGUGGGAGUCGAUGGUGUGCCUGGUCCAGUCGGUGAUCCCCAAGGGCCACAAGACCCUCACCAAGUUCGUCAACAACGGAUCCAGCAACGUCUUCUACGCCCACGAUUACAACGCGACGGUGGAGUUCUACUGGGCGCCCUUCCUGGUGGAGUCCAACUCGGACAACCCCAAGGUGCACAGCGUCCCGGACCGCGUCAUACAGUGGCACUCCAUCGCCAAGCACGCCAAGAACUGGGUCAGCGUCGACUACCUCGUCUUCAACACCUACAUCUGGUGGCUCAGCGCGCUCGACAUGAAAGUCCUGAAAAAAGGGUCGUUCGACGAGGGGGCUACCGAGUACGAGGAGGUGGACCGGCCCGUGGCGUACAGCGAGGUGCUCAAGACGUGGGCCAAGUGGGUCGACCGCAACAUUGACCCCAACAGCACCACCGUCUUCUUCAUGGGCAUGUCACCCAACCACAUCACGCCGGAGGCAUGGGGCAACGAGGGCGGCAUCAAGUGCGCAAUGGAGACGCAGCCGAUCGCCAACCGGAGCGCGACGCUGGACGUGGGCACGGACUGGCGCCUCUACGCGGGCGCCCAGGACGUGCUCAAGACGUUCCGCCGCGUGCCGGUGCACUUCGUGGACAUCACGGCGCUGUCGGAGCUCCGCAAGGACGCGCACACGUCGGUGCACACGCUCCGGCAGGGGAAGCUGCUCACGCCGGAGCAGCAGGCCAACCCCAAGACGUACGCCGACUGCAUCCACUGGUGCCUGCCGGGCCUGCCCGACACCUGGAACCAGUUCCUCUACGCCCGCAUCGUCUCCAGUGCCUCCACCCAACGCCAAGAGUAG